UGAUUAAUCAAUUAAACACUUAAGGGGAUAUUUAGUUCAAGUUAUAUAAAAUAACUAAGGUUAUAUUUGCAUGGGAAUAUAAGAUUCCAAUGUUUG